CAGGCCGCUGUCAGGCCCCCGGGUCCUGACCCUGCGGAGGUGGAGAAGGAGCGCGCCGAAGGCCGGCGGAGGGCCGUCGGGAAGGGCUCCGGGUGGCCGGCCAUGUUUGAGCCUGGCGAGAGCGUCGGGGUGACGGGAUCCAGUAGCGAACAUCUUCCUCUCGCGACCUUUGGCUUUUUGUUGGCUGCGGAUGACUGAGGAGGAAAAAGCUGGAGCCCUUACAGGAGCAAAGGGUAACAACAAAUUGGUUACCAGAUGGGAAGCCAGAAAUCACCUUAUUUGCACUUCUUCAGAGUUCAACCAGUUUGCUAAUCCCAGUUCUGAGGAAGCAGGAAAUGAAAGGGGAAAAACAACAGGGUGCAUUACAGUAGCCCUGAAUCUGGCCAAGGCAUUGUUUCCUCCUCUUGGUUUUCCUUCUCCACCCUCAUUGACUCAUCUUGUUCUCCACCCUUUUCUUGAUUCCUUCUCUUUUUUUCCUCCUACACAUGUUUUCUGUUCACCUGGGCUGAACAUGUUGAAAACUGAACGCACAAUUUCCCUUCUCAAACCUGCUUGGCCUCCCCAUUCUGUCAUCUGUUCACGGCACCCUGAGCAGCUACCCAUCAACCCCAGCCAGAAGGUUGACUGUCCUCUCUUUGCUCCUCCCACUCCCAAUCUGCACCCUGAACCCCUUUAUCUGCUGACACCACCGAAAAUGUCUUAAGUUUGCCCUGUCCUUCCUAUUCCCAUUGCCACUACCUGAGUUAAGAUACUUACCUCUCGGCAAAAAUCCUACAUUUGCUCCCUAAUUACUUUCUCUGCCCCUCAGCCUCACCUAUUCUCAGCCUCCUCAGGCUGAAUCGGUCAAAUGCAAAUCUGAGCACGUCACUCCCACACCGAAGGCAUAGAGUAGGUCUAGUCAAAGCUGCCUGACACAGCACAAACAGAAGAGGGGGGAUAGUGCCUGACAUUUUCACUCUCACUAUCUUUCCCCCUCCUCCGGCCCCCUCCCCCCCCAUGCCUCUUCCCACCCCCUCUCUCGCUCCCCUCCCUCUCUCUCCUUUAUAAGGACUCUUUUUUGUAAUUAUGAAUGCAUUGUCUGUGUGUAAUAUGUAUGUGAGUGCAAGUGCCCUUGGAGGCCAGAAGAGAGCAUCAGAUGCCCCCUGCAGCUGAACUUACAGGUGGCUGUGAGCUGCAGAACACGGGUGUUAGAAACCAAACUCAGAGAGAGCAGCAAGCACUGUUAAACACUGAGCCUUUUCUCCAGCCUGCUCUCCCCCAUUGUGGCCAUCAAUUUCAGACUACUAGAGCAAUUCAGUCAGAAGUCCAGAGAAGCAAGUUUGAAUCAGUCAGCUUGGAGGAGUUUGGGUCAGAAGAGCUGAAUUGAGUCAGCCAGCAAGAGUUCAGAAAGAGCUAGAAAGGCGUGGGAACAGGUCUCAUCUGAUCCCCUCAUCUGAGGAAAUAAAGGCAGCCUUUACAUCUUGACUUUUGUAUUAGUCCCUAUACAGGGAACUAUCUGCAGCCCAAUGCAUCCUCAAAACAUAACUCAGGAUUUUAUAAAGAAAACAUUCUCAGAUCUCGCUCCCAUGUUCCAGACUUGUGCUUCUCAGGAAUGCCUCUGAACAUGUGAAAGACUUAUCAGAACAGAUUCACAGACAGUCAUGCUGCGUGGAGGGUGGGAAUGGCAGUCUAACAAACUUGUAGGAGCGGCAGCUGUUGGUGAGCCGCGCCUUAAGGAGCAAGGCCUCACAGCUUGAACAGCUCCAUGCCCUCUUCAUUCAGAAGAUCAUAAGGUCUUCUUUCUACCCUUGGUGUCAAGAACGUGUGCUACGGAGUGAACUCAACUCUUCCCAAUGUUUUUAAUGCUUCUCAUGACAUCAUUUUUCUCCCAGUUUACCUUCUGGCAAAGGAAUGAUUUUGUAACCUGGGAGCCUAAGGCUUAGCAUGACUGAAAGGGAAUAAACAUUGAGUCACUAUUCUCUCUCUCUCUCUCUCUCUCUCUCUCUGCCACUAUAUUUUGUUUUUCUCUGUGUGUGUCACUAUAUUUUAUGUUUCUCUCUGUGUGUGACUGUACCCCCCCUCCCCUCUCCUUCCUUUCCCAACCCUGGAAGAGAAAAUAGCCAAGCAAGGAAAUCAAGAAGAAAUCUAGUCUGAAAUUUGUACGAAGAUCCAGCACACACAUAUCUCUUCUCCCCUCCUUCCUCUUUCCCAGGUAGGGAGCAUUCUUACCUAGGUAGUUGGCCAUACAGUCACCCUGUGUCUUAGCUAUUUUUCUAUUGCUGUGAAGAGACACCAUGACCAUGGCAGCUUAUUUUCUAAAUUAUUUAGUUGUGGACUUACAGUUUCAGAAGGUGUGUCCACGCCAUCAUGGUGGGGCACAAGGCCAGCAGACAGGAAGGCAUGUCACUGGAGGAGUAACUGAGAACUUACAGAUGAUCCUCACGCAAGAAGCACAGAGACUGGGCCUGUCCUGAGCGUCGGAGGCCACAAAACCCAGUGACACACCUCCAAAGCGCCACAUCUCAUGGUCCUUCCCAAGCAGUCCACCUGAGCAGCAAACAUUCAAACAGGAGCCCGUGGGGACCGCUCUCAUUCAAUCUACCACACCCGCCCUGUAUGAGAAGGUGUCAGCCGAUCCGUCAUUUAUUCAUUUAACAAAUUCUGCAUACAAGCUGUGCCGUGCUGUCACAACACCACAGAGUCCAGCCGGGCUCCGUCUUUGUCGGGCCCAGCUUUGUACCCUAAGGGCCCAAUCCUUGGUGCAAAGCCACAAGUUAUUUCAUGUCUUGCAUAUCUUGCAGCAGAUAACAGGCUAAGGAAUUAGAGAACAACAAGUCUAUUAAAGGUUUAAAAAGAUGCGGGGGCUGGACUUUUGCUGUGCAGAGGUACCUAGGAUGUGGGGGUUGAAGCCAGGCGUAGGCCACAGGGUGGAGAUGGACAUGAGAGCAUAGCUCUAGGACCUGCUUUUAGGGGAGUUAGAGAAGCUACAAGCUCAAACCCAAGAAGAGUUAGGAGGGUGAACUCACUAAUGACCCAGAGCCCUUUGUUCCUCAGCCCCCAGCCCUCUGCCUCCACACCAUCUGUACGGAAUAUAUGCCAUUCCCAUAAACCAAACAUCAUUUUCACAUAACCACGCCUUCGGUGACCUCAUCUGUGUUUUUGCUCUUCCUUCUCUGUCAAGUUCACUGCAAAUAUUGCCUCCUUCCAGACAUCUCCCUAAGGUCUUCAUCAGAACCCAGUGCUACGGAAACAAACCCGUGAUUUCACAGGAGGAGCUCCGUUACCACCUAUGCAGGAGUUGAUCUAGCCUGGCCUGGCCCCGCGUUCAUACUGUUCUCCUUGGAUGGCCUAGUCGUCCCUAUGAAUGCUGAGGGGGAGGGGCAUUUGCUGCAAACAUCAUUUGCCUACAAAGACUGGAAUACAUUGGAUCCCCCAAACUAGACUUACAGAUGGCCAGGGGCCGCCUGAUGUUGGUGUUAGGAGUGAAGCCUGGGUCCUCCGGAAGAGCAGCGGGCACUCUGAGCUGCUGAGCCAUCUAUCCAGCCCAACUGGAGUGUGUUUCAUACCCAAGGCUUACUUGAGGUUUCUACCUGAUUUUAAUUUAGGACUUUAAAGGGAUUCAGGAGUCUCCAAAAGCUGAAAGGAACAGUAAUAAAAUAAUUUUCGUUACAACCCAAA